GAGGAAUAUUGGUCAAUGCCCGCAAGGGUGACCCAGCAACGCCGCGUGGAGGAUGAAGGUCGUAAGAUUGUAAACUCCUGUUAGAGGGGAAGAAUUUCCGGGAUUGAAUCCCGGUUUGACUGUACCCUCAGAGAAAGCCCCGGCUAACUACGUGCCAGCAGCCGCGGUAAUACGUAGGGGGCAAGCGUUGUCCGGAUUUACUGGGUGUAAAGGGCGCGUAGGCGGGCUCGUAAGUCAGAGGUGAAAUCCUGCAGCUUAACUGCAGAACUGCCUUUGAUACUGCGAGUCUUGAGUUCAGAAGAGAGAGAUGGAAUUCCAGGUGUAGUGGUGAAAUACGUAGAUAUCUGGAAGAACACCAGUUGCGAAGGCGAUCUCUUGGUCUGACACUGACGCUGAGGCGCGAAAGCGUGGGGAGCAAAC
rnacentral:rRNA from 1 species